GCGAAAUUGGAGAAGUGGUUAACUCACCUGGCUGUGAACCAGGCAUGCACCGGUUCGAUCCCGGUAUUUCGCCCCA
rnacentral:tRNA from 1 species